rnacentral:rRNA from 1 species
AUAUCAAUAAGCGGAGGAAAAGAAACUAACAAGGAUUCCCUCAGUAACGGCGAGUGAAGCGGGAAGAGCUCAAUUUUGAAAUCUCCAAGGGCGACCUUGGCGUCCGCGUUGUAAUCUCGAGACGUGUUUUCCGUGCGGCUCUAUGGACAAGUCCCUUGGAACAGGGCAUCGUAGAGGGUGAAAAUCCCGUACUUGCCAUGGAAGUACCGUGCUUUGUGAUACACGCUCCAAGAGUCGAGUAGUUUGGGAUUGCUGCUCAAAGUGGGUGGUAGACUCCAUCUAAAGCUAAAUAUCGGGGAGAGACCGAUAGCGAACAAGUA